GACGAACGCUGGCGGCGUGCUUAACACAUGCAAGUCGAACGAGUGGCGCACGGGUGAGUAAUACGUGGGUAACCUGCCCUCUUUUGGGGAUAAGCCUUUGAAACGGGUUCUAAUACCCAAUAAGGGGGUGUGGCUCGCGGCCUAUCAGGUUGUUGGGGGGGUGAUGGCCUACCAAGGCGGUGACGGGUAGCCGGCCUGAGAGGGUGACCGGACACAUUGGACGUGAGAGACGGCCCAGAGUCCGACGGGAGGCAGCAGUUGGGGAUAGGGCGCAAUGGGCGAAAGCCUGAUGCAGGUACGCCGCGUGGGGGAUGAAGGCUUUCGGGUUGUAAAGCUCUGUGGCUAGCGAACGGGUAGGUGGAGAAGAAGCGCCGGCUAACUACGUGCCAGCAGCCGCGGUAAUUC
rnacentral:rRNA from 1 species